rnacentral:tRNA from 1 species
GCCCGAGUAGUUCAACGGCAGAACAAAUCCAUGGUAAGGAUUAAACGAGAGUUCGACUCCCUCCUCGGGCU